rnacentral:rRNA from 1 species
CAGCAGCAGCCGCGGUAAUACAGAGGAUGCAAGCGUUGUCCGGAAUUAUUGGGCGUAAAGGGCUCGCAGGCGGUUUCUUAAGUCUGAUGUGAAAGCCCCCGGCACAACCGGGGAGGGUCAUUGGAAACUGGGAAACUUGAGUGCAGAAGAGGAGAGUGGAAUUCCACGUGUAGCGGUGAAAUGCGUAGAGAUGUGGAGGAACACCAGUGGCGAAGGCGACUCUCUAGUCUGUAACUGACGCUGAGGAGCGAAAGCGUGGGGAGCGAACAGGAUUAGAUACCCCUGUAGUCCCUGUCUCUUAUAA